CAGAGUUGCAAAACUCCCACAAACCAUCGCGAAUCUUACCCGUACGGUUGCCUCGGCGCUGGCGGUCCGGAAGGCCCUCGGGCCCCCGGAUCCUCGGGUCUCCCGCUCGCGGGAGGCUGCCCGCCGGAGUGCCGAAACCUAAACUCUUGAUAUUUAUGUCUCUCUGAGUACACUUUUAAAUAAGUCA
rnacentral:misc_RNA from 1 species